UGGGGAAUAUUGCACAAUGGGCGAAAGCCUGAUGCAGCAACGCCGCGUGAAGGAUGAAGGUUUUCGGAUUGUAAACUUCUGUCUCCAUGGACGAGAACGGACGGUACAUGGGGAGGAAGCCACGGCUAACUACGUGCCAGCAGCCGCGGUAAUACGUAGGUGGCGAGCGUUUGUCCGGAUUUACUGGGUGUAAAGGGCGUGUAGGCGGAUUCUCAAGUCAGGUGUGAAAUACCGCAGCUUAACUGCGGGGCUGCACUUGAAACUGGGAACCUUGAGUGUUGGAGAGGAAAGCGGAAUUCCUAGUGUAGCGGUGAAAUGCGUAGAUAUUAGGAGGAACACCGAGUGGCGAAGGCGGCUUUCUGGACAAUAACUGACGCUGAGCGCGAAAGCGUGGGAGCAA
rnacentral:rRNA from 1 species